ACGAACGCUGGCGGCGUGCUUAACACAUGCAAGUCGAACGGAAAGGCCCAGCUUGCUGGGUACUCGAGUGGCGAACGGGUGAGUAACACGUGGGUGAUCUGCCCUGCACUCUGGGAUAAGCCUGGGAAACUGGGUCUAAUACCGGAUAUGACCGACUGUCGCAUGGUGGUUGGUGGAAAGCUUUUGCGGUGUGGGAUGGGCCCGCGGCCUAUCAGCUUGUUGGUGGGGUAAUGGCCUACCAAGGCGACGACGGGUAGCCGACCUGAGAGGGUGAUCGGCCACACUGGGACUGAGACACGGCCCAGACUCCUACGGGAGGCAGCAGUGGGGAAUAUUGCACAAUGGGCGCAAGCCUGAUGCAGCGACGCCGCGUGAGGGAUGACGGCCUUCGGGUUGUAAACCUCUUUCACCAGGGACGAAGCGUGAGUGACGGUACCUGGAGAAGAAGCACCGGCCAACUACGUG
rnacentral:rRNA from 1 species